rnacentral:rRNA from 1 species
AUUGAACGCUGGCGGCAUGCCUUACACAUGCAAGUCGAACGGCAGCACGGGUGCUUGCACCUGGUGGCGAGUGGCGAACGGGUGAGUAAUACAUCGGAACGUACCUUAUCGUGGGGGAUAACGCAGCGAAAGUUGCGAUAAUACCGCAUACGCCCUGAGGGGGAAAGCGGGGGACCGUAAGGCCUCGCGCGAUUAGAGCGGCCGAUGUCUGAUUAGCUUGUUGGUGAGGUAAAAGCUCACCAAGGCGAUGAUUAGUAGCUGGUCUGCGAGGACGAUCAGCCACACUGGGACUGAGACACGGCCCAGACUCCUACGGGAGGAAGCAGUGGGGAAGUUGGGACAAUGGGGGCAACCCUGAUCCAGCAAUGCCGCGUGAGUGAAGAAGGCCUUCGGGUUGUAAAGCUCUUUUGUCAGGGAAGAAACAGCAGCUCUAACACAGUCUGCGAAUGACGGUACCUGAAGAAUAAGCACCGGCUAACUACGUGCCAGCCGCCGCAGUAA